AGUGAACGCUGGCGGUAGGCCUAACACAUGCAAGUCGAACGGCAGCACAGAGGAGCUUGCUCCUUGGGUGGCGAGUGGCGGACGGGUGAGGAGUACAUCGGAAUCUACUCUGUCGUGGGGGAUAACGUAGGGAAACUUACGCUAAUACCGCAUACGACCUACGGGUGAAAGCAGGGGAUCUUCGGACCUUGCGCGAUUGAAUGAGCCGAUGUCGGAUUAGCUAGUUGGCGGGGUAAAGGCCCACCAAGGCGACGAUCCGUAGCUGGUCUGAGAGGAUGAUCAGCCACACUGGAACUGAGACACGGUCCAGACUCCUACGGGAGGCAGCAGUGGGGAAUAUUGGACAAUGGGCGCAAGCCUGAUCCAGCCAUACCGCGUGGGUGAAGAAGGCCUUCGGGUUGUAAAGCCCUCUUGUUGGGAAAGAAAUCCAUCUGGUUAAUACCCGGGUGGGAUGACGGUACCCAAAGAAUAAGCACCGGCUAACUUCGUGCCAGCAGCCGCGGUAA
rnacentral:rRNA from 1 species